rnacentral:lncRNA from 1 species
UAUAUAUACAGACAGAGAGGUAUAGGCGUGGCCUUUAGGGUUUGUUGUUAAGUGGUUGCAAUAGUUAAUAUUUGGAAUGAUAUUCGGUUCGAAUGUUUCAAGGAGAUGGUCUUCGUACACUUAUAGUUCUUCUAGUCACAAAUAAUAACAAUAACUUGUUCUUUAUUGUUUGAUCAUAACAAUGACUUGUUGAACAUACCUUUUACAACCAAAAAAAAACUUUACAUU